rnacentral:sRNA from 1 species
UGUCCCUGGCCGCCUACACCCACUAUACAUCCACAAACCCGUGUGCACUGUCUUGGAGAAAGGCUUCAGAGAAGUUUUUUGUGGCCUCCCUUGGGGUCUUUCUUCGCUACAAACUCGAAUGGUUAGUAUGAACGUGGAACUUGGUUGGACCGUCACUGGCCAACAAACUAUACACAACUUUCGACAACGGAUCUCUUGGUUCUCCCAUCGAUGAAGAACACAGCGAAACGCGAUAGGUAAUGUGAAUUGCAGAAUUCCGUGAAUCAUCGAAUCUUUGAACGCACCUUGCGCUCUAUGGCAAUCCGUAGAGCAUGCCUGUUUGAGUGCCAUGAAAUCUCCCACCCCAAGCGGUUUUUAAAUGAAACGGCUUGGCGGAUGGGGUCUGGAUGGGUGCCUCUGCCUGCGCUACCCUGCACAGGCUCGCCCGAAAUGCAUGAGCGCCUUGAGACACUUUGCAUCCGCCUCUCUGUUUGGGAGGAGGCGGCCAAGCAGUGUUUUUCUCCUGGCAUGGCAUGAUACGUCAUUUGCUAUGUCGCCUAAAGGAGGA